UACGUAGGUGACCAGCGUUGUCCGGAUUUACUGGGCGUAAAGGGCGCGUAGGCGGCAAUUCAAGUCAGCUGUGAAAUCUCCGGGCUUAACUCGGAACGGUCAGCUGAUACUGCUUUGCUAGAGUGCAGAAGGGGCAAUCGGAAUUCUCGGUGUAGCGGUGAAAUGCGUAGAUAUCGAGAGGAACACCUGAGGUGAAGACGGGUUGCUGGGCUGACACUGACGCUGAUGCGCGAAAGCCAGGGUAGCAAACGGG
rnacentral:rRNA from 1 species